rnacentral:misc_RNA from 1 species
GGGCCUCAAAUCAUUAAAGCACAUCUUCGCAUCGACCACUGCGAGAAAGCUAAAAGACAGAGCUCAUAGACUUCUCUAGCCGUUAGGGUCGGCAGCCAAGUAGUGACUAGCGCAAACACCCCAGAGAUACCCUUCAAACGCUAAAAGGAGUGCACCACAGGACAUUACCACUACAACUAAGGCUCUGUAGAGCAAGCUCAAGGCGGAAUCACUUCAUCUCCGGCUCUUUUUGCCCCGAUCUGCAAUCAAAAGAACACAACAAAAAAUUAUUCACAACCCUGUCUAGAGGUAGGGAGGGAAAGACCUACUAUCCAGACAAGGAACAAGCCAUCUCGGUCAGGGGAAGGCCUCAACUAGGCAGUGACAAGUGGUCCGGAUCAGCGAGAAAAGAAACAGACAGGAGAAAAAAAUGGAGCUUUUUGACAAGUUUGAGAUUUU